GAUGAACGCUGGCGGCGUGCCUAAUACAUGCCAGUCGAGCGAACAGACGAGGAGCUUGCUCCUCUGACGUUAGCGGAGGACGGGUGAGUAACACGUGGAUAACCUACCUAUAAGACUGGGAUAACUUCGGGAAACCGGAGCUAAUACCGGAUAAUAUAUUGAACCGCAUGGUUCAAUAGUGAAAGACGGUUUUGCUGUCACUUAUAGAUGGAUCCGCGCCGCAUUAGCUAGUUGGUAAGGUAACGGCCUACCGAGGCAACGAUGCGUAGCCGACCUGAGAGGGGGAUAGCCCACCCUGGAACGGAGACACGGUCCAGGCGCCUACGGGAGGCAGCAGUAGGGAAUGUUCCGCAAUGGGCGAAAGCCUUACGCAGCAACGCCGCGUGAGUGAUGAAGGUCUUCGGUUCGUAAAGCUCUGUUAUUAGGUAAGAACAAAUGUGUAAGUAACUAUGCACGUCGUGACGGUACCUAAUCAGAAAGCCACGGCUAACUACGUG
rnacentral:rRNA from 1 species